UGUAAUUUGUAGAGGAUGCUUUGGCUGGCUCCAGUGUGAGUUCCUUGGAACAGGACGUCAUGGAGGGUGAGAAUCCCGUAUGUGGCUGGUGGCCUUUGCCCUGUAAAGUCCCUUCAACGAGUCGAGUUGUUUGGGAAUGCAGCUCUAAAUGGGAGGUAAAUUUCUUCUAAAGCUAAAUAUUGGCCAGAGACCGAUAGUGCACAAGUAGAGUGAUCGAAAGAUGGAAAGCACUUUGGAAAGAGAGUGAGACAGCACGUGAAAUUGUUGAAAGGGAAGCGCUUGCAGCCAGACUUGCCCGCUGUUGCCCCGCCUGGCUUAUGGCGGACUUUCCAGCGGGCAGGCCAGCAUCAGUCUGGGCGGUCGGACAAAGGCCCUGGGAAUGUGGCUCCCUUCGGGGAGUGUUAUAGCCUGGGGCGCCACGCGACCAGCCGGGGCUGAGGCCUGCGCAUCUGCUAGGAUGCUGGCGUAAUGGCCGCAAGCGGUCCGUCUUGAAACACGGUCCAAGGAGUCUAACAUCUAUGGGAGUGUUUGGGUGUGAAGCCCUGGCGCGCAAUGAAAGUGAAUGGAGGUGGGACCCUUGGGUGCACCAUCGACCGAUCCUGAUGUUUUCGGAUGGAUUUGAGUAAGAGCAUAGGUGUUGGGACCCGAAAGAUGGUGAACUAUGCCUGAAUAGGGUGAAGCCAGAGGAAACUCUGGUGGAGGCUCGCAGCGGUUCUGACGUGCAAAUCGAUCGUCGAAUUUGGGCAUAGGGCGAAAGACUAAUCGAUCA
rnacentral:rRNA from 1 species